rnacentral:rRNA from 1 species
UACGGAGGGUGCGAGCGUUGUCCGGAAUCAUUGGGCGUAAAGGGCGCGUAGGUGGCCCGGUCAGUCUUUGGUGAAAGCGCGGGGCUCAACCCUGCGUCGGCCAGGGAUACUGCCGCGGCUCGAGCACUGUAGAGGCAGGCGGAAUUCCGGGUGGUAGCGGUGGAAUGGCGUAGAGAUCCGGAAGAACACCGGUGGCGAAGGCGGCCUGCUGGGCAGUUUAGCUGACACUGAGGCGCGACAGCGUGGGGGAGCAAACAGG